UACGGAGGGGGCUAGCGUUGUUCGGAAUUACUGGGCGUAAAGCGCACGUAGGCGGCUUUGUAAGUUAGAGGUGAAAGCCCGGAGCUCAACUCCGGAAUUGCCUUUAAGACUGCAUCGCUAGAACGUCGGAGAGGUGAGUGGAAUUCCGAGUGUAGAGGUGAAAUUCGUAGAUAUCGUCUGGAACGCCAAAGGUGAAAACAGUCUGCUGGGGGCUUGCUGACGCUGAGACACGAAAGCCAGGGGAGCGAACGGG
rnacentral:rRNA from 1 species